rnacentral:rRNA from 1 species
CUACGAAGGGGGCUAGCGUUGUUCGGAAUUACUGGGCGUAAAGCGCGCGUAGGCGGACUGAUCAGUUAGGGGUGAAAUCCCAGGGCUUAACCCUGGAACUGCCUCUAAUACUGUCAGUCUUGAGUUCGGGAGAGGUGAGUGGAAUUCCUAGUGUAGAGGUGAAAUUCGUAGAUAUCGGAAAGAACACCAGUGGCGAAGGCGACUUCCUGGCCCAAUACUGACGCUGGGGCGCGAAAGCGUGGGGAGCGAACAGGAUUAGAAACCCUUGUAGUCC